AUAACAGCAGCACACUGUGAGCAGCACACGAACAGGAGAGACAGGGAGACGAGAGAGAGCUCGUUUGCGCUACAGAGAAAAAACAACACAGUGGAAAGUGGAAAGGCACGGCGCCGUGUGGUGAUGUCACGGCCCAGGAAACAUCAGCUUUGGCGUCUUUUCAUUUCACAGCAUGACACCCCUCCCACCCCCCGGCCCCACAGGCCCUUCUGAUGGAUGAAGUUUUAAUGCUGCUCAAAGGAUUCAUUCGUUCAUUCAUUGGUGAGACACCGCCGCCCCUCGGGGUGAAUUAAGUGGUCCAAUCGGACACUAACAAGACGUUCGCUGUCGGCCAUCUUAAAUGAUUGGUGAUCACUUGAGAUGUCUGCAGGAAGUGGCGGUGACCGGGAGGAUGCUUCUUUCAUUUUUGCGCCAGAUUCAUCAUUAGCCGUGGGCGGGGGGUGCAGUGGGGGCGUUAUGGGGGAGGUGGUGCGUCCUUUAUCCCGGCCAGCAUGUUUUCAUCAGCAGCGGCCCGAGUGAAUUAUUCAGAUUUGUGCAAAUGACGACUUUUCAUUUUCCGCCGGCGCGAGUGGAAAUUGAACGUGACCCCGGCGACCCACCGCUAUACGGCUGCCGGCGUGUAAGGUCGGCAAGACGGGGGCUUCGUCGCCGAGACGCUUAACCCGCUUUGUUAACCCGAACCCGACCCGUGCUUCGCCUUUUAUGAACACGCUUUAAAUAUUCUUGACAGAACAAAAGCAAUCGUGUUGGCACACUGCCGCCGGGUUAGGGGGCGCCGCCCGACACAACCCGCACUUACGGACAGGAAGGUGAAAACGACAACACAAAAGACGGCGCGCGACGCGCGUUGGCCACACCAAAAGUGAUUGCCGUAACCAUAGUUACCCGCUUCACUUUCAUCUGUACACCACAUCUUCUGAUCACACACCAGUCAAGCCGACAUAAAAGUGACAUUUGCUGGAGUGGCGUAGCAGUGUUACAUUUGUUACUUGUAGUAAUAUAGUAGCAAAAGUGUAACCAUCUUACAUUUGUCUACCAUACCAUGUGUAAUAGUGAAUCUUAAAAGUCUAACAAAUGUUAGCAUGUACUAAUGAGUCAUAACAGAAUAGCGCUUAGACCAUGUAUUAACAUUGUGACAAGUUUAGAUGUGUGUAACAGUGUGUUAAGUGUUACUAAGUAGUAAUAUCAUUACCGGUAUUAGCAUGUUGUGACAGUGGAGUUCGUCAGUUACAUGUGUGGUAAGAGAGUUCCAUAUUUUAGUAUAUAAUAGCAGUGCAACAAAGGUUACAGCCUAUUUACACUGUAAAAGGUGCUAACCUUGUAGAGCUGUCUACUGUUGCUACAAUGUAGUAACAGGGCUACGAGUAUUACAUUUGCAAUAACUGUGUAAUAUGUGUGUCAUUACAUAGAAACGUUGAUUGCACGUAGUGGCAAUAUAACAAGUAUUAACGUCUAAUAACACUGUCACAAGUAUUUGUGUACAAUGUAAUGACUGUGUACCAUUUGUUACUUGAUAGUAACAUGGCUGUGUUAAGAGUGACGGACCAAUGUAAUAAUUGUUAGCAUGUGGUAACAGUGUUAUUGGUGUGUUACAUGGGGAGUACAAGUGUUACAAGUGUUUGCAGCAAGUUAACAGUGUUGCGCGUGUGACAGCUUGGUUACACAUCUUAGAUUGCAGAAUAGUAUAGUACAUACAGUAUGUAGGAAGAAGUGUUCUCGUGUAAUAAGAAUGUAAAAAGUCUGUUGCGUGUUGUAACGUUGUGACUCGGGU